CACGUAGGGAGCAAGCGUUGUUCGGAUUUACUGGGCGUAAAGGGCGCGUAGGCGGCCACUGCAAGUCAGUUGUGAAAUCUCCGGGCUUAACCCGGAAAGGUCAACUGAUACUGCAGGGCUAGAGUGCAGAAGGGGCAACUGGAAUUCUCGGUGUAGCGGUGAAAUGCGUAGAUAUCGAGAGGAACACCUGCGGCGAAGGCGGGUUGCUGGGCUGACACUGACGCUGAGGCGCGAAAGCCAGGGGAGCGAACGGG
rnacentral:rRNA from 1 species